UACGAAGGGGGCUAGCGUUGCUCGGAAUCACUGGGCGUAAAGGGUGCGUAGGCGGGUCUUUAAGUCAGAGGUGAAAUCCUGGAGCUCAACUCCAGAACUGCCUUUGAUACUGAGGAUCUUGAGUACGGGAGAGGUGAGUGGAACUGCGAGUGUAGAGGUGAAAUUCGUAGAUAUUCGCAAGAACACCAGUGGCGAAGGCGGCUCACUGGCCCGUUACUGACGCUGAGGCACGAAAGCGUGGGGAGCAAACGGG
rnacentral:rRNA from 1 species